UGGUUAAAAAGCUCGUAGUUGGAUCUCAACAGCCUCGGAAGCGGUUAACUUUGUAGUUUUACUGCUUUAUAGGCUGUGCUUUUGCUGGAGGUUUAGGGGUGCUCUUGAUCGAGUGUCUCUGGAUGCCAGCAGGUUUACUUUGAAAAAAUUAGAGUGCUCAAAGCUGGCUAAAAUGCCUGAAUAUUCGUGCAUGGAAUAAUAGAAUAGGAUGUCGAUCCUAUUUUGUUGGUUUUCGGGACUCGACAUAAUGAUAAAUAGGGACAGUCGGGGGCAUUUGUAUUCAAACGACAGAGGUGAAAUUCUUGGACCGUUUGAAGACAAACUACUGCGAAAGCAUUUGCCAAGAAUGUUUUCAUUAAUCAAGAACGAAAGUUAGAGGUCCGAA
rnacentral:rRNA from 1 species